rnacentral:lncRNA from 1 species
UGAAGAAGUCUUGUUUGGAGUUGUGUGGGGGUUGAAUUAGCAUAGAUGUGAUAUUUCAAAAGUUGGAAGAAAAAAAAUAUAGAAAAAGAAAAGAAAAUAAAGAAGGAAGAAAAGUCAUGUUCUUGUUAUAUUUCUUAUGGAAAAAAAAAGAGAAAAAAAAACAUAGAGAAAAGAAAAUGGCUCCAAAGAAGUUGAUGGAAAGUAAAUGAAAUAUUUGUUAGUUAAACUUCCACAACCUCUUUCAAUUCUCUUUUAUCCCUUUAAAUUU